rnacentral:rRNA from 1 species
CCCUUAGAUGUUCUGGGCUGCACGCGCGCUACACUGAUGCGUUCAACGAGUUUAUGACCUUGCCCGAUAGGGUUGGGUAAUCUUUUUAAAUCGCAUCGUGAUGGGGAUAGAUUAUUGCAAUUAUUAAUCUUCAACGAGGAAUUCCUAGUAAGCGCGAGUCAUCAGCUCGUGCUGAUUACGUCCCUGCCCUUUGUACACACCGCCCGUCGCUCCUACCGAUUGAAUGGUCCGGUGAAGCGUUCGGACCGUGGCCUUUGGACGGUUCGCCGUCUGUUGGCUGCGGGAAGUUCGUUAAACCUUAUCAUUUAGAGGAAGGAGAAGUCGUANCA